rnacentral:rRNA from 1 species
UGCGUAGGCGGCCUGACAAGUCAGAGGUGAAAGGCUACGGCUUAACCGUAGUAAGCCUUUGAAACUGACAGGCUUGAGUGCAGGAGAGGAAAGUGGAAUUCCUAGUGUAGCGGUGAAAUGCGUAGAUAUUAGGAGGAACACCAGUGGCGAAGGCGACUUUCUGGACUGUAACUGACGCUGAGGAACGAAAGCGUGGGGAGCGAACAGGAUUAGAUACCCUGGUAGUC